rnacentral:tRNA from 1 species
UUGGGGCUGGCUCAGUGGUAGAGUGCUUGCCUUGCAUGCAUGAGGCCCUGGGUUCGAUUCCUCAGCACCACA